CUCACUCAUAAAACUUCAGAAUAUGACUUGUACUAAAUCUUGGCUUUGAUGGAAACCAAGAAACAUCAGCGAUUGAAGUGUACUUGCCAGCAGUAUCCCUUUUCAAGAUUAAAGAUAUUGGAUAUAAUGAGCAUGGCCCAAGAGAGAAGUGGACAUUGUUGAUGCAGUCAAGUCACAUUCUGAAUAGGUAGUGUAAGUGGUACCAGUUGUUAAUGUCCCUGGUUUUGUUUAUGCUGUAAACAAACCCAGUGGAUUAAACAACUGUUUUGAGCCACUCACUCAUAAAACUUCAGAAUAUGACUUGUACUAAAUCUUGGCUUUGAUGGAAACCAAGAAACAUCAGCGAUUGAAGUGUACUUGCCAGCAGUAUCCCUUUUCAAGAUUAAAGAUAUUGAAUAUAAUGAGCAUGGCCCAAGAGAGAAGUGGACAUUGUUGAUGCAGUCAAGUCACAUUCUGAAUAGGUAGUGUAAGUGGUACCAGUUGUUAAUGUCCCUGGUUUUGUUUAUGCUGUAAACAAACCCAGUGGAUUAAAAAACUGUUUUGAGCCACUCACUCAUAAAACUUCAGAAUAUGACUUGUACUAAAUCUUGGCU